CACACACAGCUUCCCGUCGGCCGCCGCCGCGUCAGGGGUAAAUUCUGACAACCGGAAGUCACGUUGGAAACCCGGAAGUCUUCGGAGCACGUGAUUAUAGCCUCUUCCGGCAACCAUUAAAGGGCACGGUUGCUAGGGAGACGCGGCGGUAACCUGGACCUUAAAAGUUUGUUGUCGUUAGGGAAUAGGUGGGAAUAUGGUUGUGGGAUUAAUGAAACACAGUACCAAAGAGAUUCCAGAAAGAGAACUGGUGUAGGAAUAGGGCCUGCAUGGGAGGAGUUCAAAGAUGCUUCUUGGAGGGAGCCGAUAACCCGCGGGUGGAGCCUACCCGAGACAGGGCAUCACUGUGUUGCCAAGGCUGGUCUUGAACUGGCUCAAGCAAUCUGCCCACCUCGGUCUCCCAAAGUGCUGGGAUUACAGGAGUGAGCCACUGCGCCCUGCCUGGUAAGUAUUUUAAAAGGUGAAAUUUAGUAAUAUUUUAAAUAUUUUACAUGUAAAAUAACUUGAAAUAAGCAAUUUUAAAAAUAUCUUUCAAACAAUAGAGGUGUUUUUGUUUUCUUUUGUUUUUGUAAAAUGAUGUGAUAUAACAAUCCACUAUGGUGCAUUUGAUCCUGAUUACAUUGUUAGGGAAGUUAGGCAAAGCAUAUUUAACAUCUACACACUUAAUGGGACACACACAGUAAAUGGAAGCAACCAAGAAUAUUUUAAAUUGUGAAUUGGGUAUAAAUUUUCUUAAUUGCC
rnacentral:lncRNA from 10 species